rnacentral:rRNA from 1 species
CACGUAGUUAGCCGUGGCUUCCUCCUUAGCUACCGUCAUUAUCGUCACUAAGGACAGAGGUUUACAAUCCGAAAACCGUCUUCCCUCACGCGGCGUUGCUGCAUCAGGGUUUCCCCCAUUGUGCAAUAUCCCCCACUGCUGCCUCCCGUAGGAGUCUGGGCCGUGUCUCAGUCCCAAUGUGGCCGAUCAACCUCUCAGGUUCGGCUACCGAUCGUCGCCUUGGUAGGCCGUUACCCCACCAACUAGCUAAUCGGACGCGAGCCCAUCUAAAAGCGGAUUGCUCCUUUGAUCUCAGAACCAUGCAGUUCCGAGAUGUUAUGCGGUAUUAGCGACCGUUUCCAGUCGUUAUCCCCCUCUUCUAGGCAGGUUGCUCACGCGUUACUCACCCGUCCGCCACUAAGUUUGCUCCCGAAGAACAACUCCGUUCGACUUGCAUGUGUUAGGCACGCCGCCAGCGUUCGUCCUGAGCCAGGAUCAACUCU